GUUAGGAUACUGACCCACGACACACAGAAUAACCCUAACCCCAAGGAAGGGAGGAAAGAGUCGGCGCCGCUUGGAGGUGAAUCCCACCUUCUUUUGGAAGCAAAACUGCAUAACCCACUCAGAUGAGUUUCCGGUGGCAGCUUUCCGGCAUCAUCACAUGUGAAAAUGCAAUUCGAGCUGGGCUAGAUGCCUUCUAUGCCAUUGCUUGUCAGGAAUCUGUCCCUACAGGGAGAUUGCCUCUCAUCUAGCAAUUCAGCAAAUGGCUAGAUGCCAUUCCUUACCAUUCCCUUCAUGCUAAUCCUCCAGGAGAUGGAUAUUGAACUUUUAGAGAAUGGUGGCAGCACCUUGCAGAGUUCUGAUCCUCCAGGAGAUCCAGAUAGUGUUUAGGGAUGGUAGUCCAGGCUAUAUACGGUAUUUAGAACAUGUAUAAGAACAGAUUAGGCUUUUCUUUCAGCAACUGCAGCAGCAGCGGCAAUAACAGCAAAUAUUUUUUUGAAAAGAACAACAAAUGCUUUUAAUCUCUGAAAUGCCUGGCCUACCUUGUAUUGUGAAUUGCAACCUGAUUGUAAUACAUGCACAUGGAUAAAAUUAUGUAAAUUCUAUUGCUGUAUUACUGUAUUGAC